rnacentral:misc_RNA from 1 species
GUUUUCUUUCUUCUUUCUUCAAUCGCCGCCGCCUGCCGUCGCCUCGAUUGGGCUGUGUCGUCGCUUUGGGCCUCGUUCGGUCGCCGUCGGAGAAGCCAGUCGCUCCGCCGUUCGCUCGCGUCGCGUCUGUAGGUGGGUUUUCCGCCGUCGCCUUGGUGCUGCCGCUCGCUCGGGACUCGCCGUUGUCAGCUGGGGAAGGUCGCUAGUGUCGUCUGGGUGUCUAGAUCCGCCACUAGCCGCUGCCGUGCCGUUUUCUGCUACUGCUGCUUCCAAUUUCAGUUUUGGUUUAGGGUAUUGAAGAGACGUAGGUGCCGAUGUCAAAGUAUGAAUUUCCAAGGCUUCCACGGGCAGAUAUUGCAUCGAUACUAGCAGAUCAUCAAAUUGCUGUUGUAACAGAGCGGGACCUCCUUCACCCCUCACCAGAUUUGGUUUCAGAUCUCUACACACGUUUAAUGAUCUACCUCGACUUUCUCCACGAGGAAGACCAAGGACAAGUUGAGUUUGCUGCCUUGGAUCAGCUCGAGAAUCCUGAUUUGCAUAUGGAUUCAGUCCCGAUAAU